CGGGGAGUGUUCUAUGCUGUCAAGCAGCGUCUUUUAAAUGUUGGAGUUGAUGUGCUGGACUAAUUCUUUGCGCUCUUCUUAAAUGGCUUAAAAAUAACCCUGGCAAUCUUUAACCUGUUAGACGCUUCUAAGCGCCGAAACUGUUAAAACCGCAACGGACAAAAAGCAGUCGCCACAGAAAUGCGUUUCUUUACCUUUGUUCUCAUUUUUUUCAAUCAUUUAUCGAGCGCCCUUCCUCUUCACGUAGAUGCCAUCAUAGUUCAGAUCCAGCAGUGGGGGGUGGUAGGAGCUCAGCAUGUCGCAGAGCAAGUUUUGCUCAAUGGAAUUUCUCUCUCAAGCCCAAGCUGGGAGGUCCAGAGCAUAAUUAAAAGCAUGUCCGCUAGUGACCUCCUACCUGAUGGAAUCAGCAAUAACCAGACUUCAGUUCUAAGAAAUCAUACUGUCCUUCGCUCUCGGGAAUGCAUCAUAGAGGGCUCUCGGCUCCACUGGUCUGAUCGGGUGUUUUGUGACGGCAAAGGUCUUCCUGACCCUGGAGCACAACAACACAUGGACAGCCCAUGUGCCGGAAGCGAAGGCCCUCAAAAACCUGUGGGACCAGGAGGUGGAGCAUUCAAAGAUUGAGAGAAGUCGUCUACAGGAAGGAUGCAUUCAGCUGAUGAAGGAGCUGAAGCUUUCAGAGGAAGAGUCAGUUCAUGGAAUUGAUCUGCCCAGAUUUCUGAUCCCUAUCUUGGCUGUGAUGGCAUUUUUAAUGCUAAUUAUAGUGACCAUUCUUAUCUCAAGAGGCUCUGGUCUAAUUCACCCUGGAGGGGUGAUCGGCUCCAUUAUCCAUUACCCCAAAGAUAUAACUCACACUGCUGAUGAGAAGAAAUCCUGUUACAGAGCACUGUGACUCAAAAGGCUCAUGAAUACAAAGUUGCUUGUGAAUUGAUGUCUUUGUCAUAUGUUAUGUUUUUCUUAUUCUCUUUAUUGCUUAUGCUUAUUUUUUAAAAAAAAGUAAAUUACUUAAAGAAAAAUGAACACAAGUGUUUGAUGCAGUAAGUUGUUCACAUUCUUGUCCACACGAAUAAACUCUCCACACAAAACUUGACAUGUUCCUGAACACCCAAUAAAACAGUGCAAACUAA